GAUGAACGCUGGCGGCGUGCCUAAUACAUGCAAGUCGAGCGAACGGACGAGAAGCUUGCUUCUCUGAUGUUAGCGGCGGACGGGUGAGUAACACGUGGAUAACCUACCUAUAAGACUGGGAUAACUUCGGGAAACCGGAGCUAAUACCGGAUAAUAUUUUGAACCGCAUGGUUCAAAAGUGAAAGACGGUCUUGCUGUCACUUAUAGAUGGAUCCGCGCUGCAUUAGCUAGUUGGUAAGGUAACGGCUUACCAAGGCAACGAUGCAUAGCCGACCUGAGAGGGUGAUCGGCCACACUGGAACUGAGGCACGGUCCAGACUCCUACGGGAGGCAGCAGUAGGGAAUCUUCCGCAAAGGGCGAAAGCCUGACGGAGCAACGCCGCGUGAGUGAUGAAGGUCUUCGGAUCGUAAAACUCUGUUACUAGGGAAGAACAUAUGUGUAAGUAACUGUGCACAUCUUGACGGUACCUAAUCAGAAAGCCACGGCUAACUACGUG
rnacentral:rRNA from 1 species